AAACGUUUGACACCAGUCAUGUGGGUGGAAAAUCAGUCUUUUGCAUUGGGGAGUUGUAAAGGUUCGGACCGCAAGGCCGGCUUUUGCUUCAUCUUUGGUGUAAGGGAUGCACUUUUUCAUCUACAGGUCAACAUCAGUUUCUUUUGCUGGACAAAACUCCGAGAGAAGGUAGCAGCUUAGGCUGUGU
rnacentral:rRNA from 1 species